GACGAACGCUGGCGGCGUGCUUAACACAUGCAAGUCGAACGGAAAGGCCCUGCUUUUGUGGGGUGCUCGAGUGGCGAACGGGUGAGUAACACGUGAGUAACCUGCCCUUGACUUUGGGAUAACUUCAGGAAACUGGGGCUAAUACCGGAUAGGAGCUCCUGCUGCAUGGUGGUGUUUGGAAAGUUUCGGCGGUUGGGGCUGGACUCGCGGCUUAUCAGCUUGUUGGUGGGGUAGUGGCUUACCAAGGCUUUGACGGGUAGCCGGCCUGAGAGGGUGACCGGCGACAUUGGGACUGAGAUACGGACCAGACUGCUACGGGAGGCAGCAGUGGGAAAUAUUGCACAAUGGGCGGAAGCCUGAUGCAGCAACGCCGCGUGCGGGAUGACGGCCUUCGGGUUGUAAACCGCUUUCGCCUGUGACGAAGCGUGAGUGACGGUAAUGGGUAAAGAAGCACCGGCUAACUACGUG
rnacentral:rRNA from 1 species